rnacentral:rRNA from 1 species
GACGAACGCUGGCGGCGUGCCUAACACAUGCAAGUCGAGCGAGAGACUUCGGUCUCUAGCGGCGGACGGGUGAGUAACACGUGGGUAACCUGCCUCAUAGAGGGGGAUAGCCUCCCGAAAGGGAGAUUAAUACCGCAUAUACUCUCGGUAUCACAUGAUACUUAGAGGAAAGGAGCAAUCCGCUAUGAGAUGGACCCGCGGCGCAUUAGCUAGUUGGUGAGGUAACGGCUCACCAAGGCGACGAUGCGUAGCCGACCUGAGAGGGUGAUCGGCCACAUUGGAACUGAGACACGGUCCAGACUCCUACGGGAGGCAGCAGUGGGGAAUAUUGCACAAUGGGCGAAAGCCUGAUGCAGCAACGCCGCGUGAGUGAUGAAGGCCUUCGGGUUGUAAAGCUCUGUCUUUUGGGACGAUAAUGACGGUACCAAAGGAGGAAGCCACGGCUAACUACGUGCCAGCCGCCGCGGUAACAC